rnacentral:rRNA from 1 species
CCUACGGGAGGCAGCAGUGAGGAAUAUUGGUCAAUGGGCGCGAGCCUGAACCAGCCAAGUCGCGUGAGGGAUGAAGGUUCUAUGGAUCGUAAACUUCUUUUAUAAGGGAAUAAAGUGUGGGACGUGUCCUAUUUUGUAUGUACCUUAUGAAUAAGGAUCGGCUAACUCCGUGCCAGCAGCCGCGGUAAUACGGAGGAUCCGAGCGUUAUCCGGAUUUAUUGGGUUUAAGGGGUGCGUAGGCGGGUUUUUAAGUCAGCGGUGAAAGUCUGUGGCUCAACCGUAGAAUUGCAUUUGAAACUGGGGGGCUUGAGUAUGUUUGAGGAAGGCGGAAUUCGUGGUGUAGCGGUGAAAUGCUUAGAUAUCACGAAGAACCCCGAUGGCGAAGGCAGCCUACUAAGCCAUGACUGACGCUGAUGCUCGAAAGCGUGGGUAUCAAACAGGAUUAGAUACCCCAGUAGUC